rnacentral:tRNA from 1 species
AGAGAUGUAGCUCAGUGAUAGAGCAUUUGUCUAGCAUGCACAAGGGGCUGGGUUCAAUCCCCAGUGUGGCAA